rnacentral:rRNA from 1 species
AGACGGGUGAGUAACGCGUGGGAAUCUACCGAGCCCUAAGGAAUAACUCCGGGAAACUGGAACUAAUACCUUAUACGCCCUACGGGGGAAAGAUUUAUCGGGGUUUGAUGAGCCCGCGUUGGAUUAGCUAGUUGGUGGGGUAAAGGCCUACCAAGGCGACGAUCCAUAGCUGGUCUGAGAGGAUGAUCAGCCACAUUGGGACUGAGACACGGCCCAAACUCCUACGGGAGGCAGCAGUGGGGAAUAUUGGACAAUGGGCGCAAGCCUGAUCCAGCCAUGCCGCGUGAGUGAAGAAGGUCUUAGGAUUGUAAAGCUCUUUCACCGAUGAAGAUAAUGACUGUAGUCGGAGAAGAAGCCCCGGCUAACUUCGUGCCAGCAGCCGCGGUAAUACGAAGGGGGCUAGCGUUGUUCGGAAUUACUGGGCGUAAAGCGCACGUAGGCGGAUAUUUAAGUCAGGGGUGAAAUCCCGCAGCUCAACUGCGGAACUGCCUUUGAUACUGGGUAUCUUGAGUAUGGAAGAGGUAAGUGGAAUUGCGAGUGUAGAGGUGAAAUUCGUAGAUAUUCGCAGGAACACCAGUGGCGAAGGCGGCUUACUGGUCCAUUACUGACGC